GGUUCGAUGGCGUAGUUGGUUAUCGCAUCUGUCUAACACUCUUGCCCACAGAAGGUCCCCGGUUCGAGCCCGGGUCGAAUCA